rnacentral:lncRNA from 1 species
GGAAGGUCCUAUGCUUAACUAGCGCCCCCAUCCACCAUGUUUCCUGACGGAUUCUAGUCUUGUUUGUUUUUUUCAACCUAAAACCAAAUGGAAAUGGCCGGAGAGCUCCAGGGCACCUAGGUUCCCUGGCUUCGGCUUCGGCUGGGCUAACGCGCGAGUGUGGUGGGACUAUCCUAGGAGGUGUUCCUGGAGAGAGAGGCGAUGGCGUCAAGUAGUAACUGGCUGUCCGGAGUGAAUGUCGUUCUUGUGAUGGCGUACGGGAGCCUGGUGAGAAAAAUCCCCAUUCUAUUCCUCCUGUGGCGUUUGUUUGUCCGAGUCCGGACCUUCCUCCUGAGCCGUUCUCUGUCUUCGUUCUUCAGCCUCUUAACUUGCUUUGUUUCUGGACUUUAGAAUAAUAUCCGUAGACUGCCUAAGAUCUUUAAGUCAAAGCUGUCUGCCACUGAGCAAGA